CCUACGGGUGGUAGCAGUAGGGAAUCUUUCACAAUGGGCGAAAGCCUGAUGGAGCAACGCCGCGUGCAGGAUGAAGGCCUUCGGGUUGUAAACUGCUUUUAUAAGCGAGAAAUAUGAUGGUAACUUAUGAAUAAGGAUCGGCUAACUACGUGCCAGCAGCCGCGGUCAUACGUAGGAUCCGAGCAUUAUCCGGAGUGAUUGGGUGUAAAGAGUUGCGUAGGUGGCAUAAUAAGUAGCUAGUGAAAUCUGGUGGCUCAACCAUUCAGACUAUUAGCUAAACUGUUAAGCUCGAGACCGUUAGGGGUAACUGGAAUUUCUUGUGUAGCGGUGAAAUGCGUAGAUAUAAGGAAGAACACCAGUGGCGAAGGCGGAUUACUGGACGAUAACUGACGGUGAGGCGCGAAAGCGUGGGGAGCAAACAGGAUUAGAUACCCCAGUAGUC
rnacentral:rRNA from 1 species